rnacentral:rRNA from 1 species
UACGAAGGGUGCAAGCGUUACUCGGAAUUACUGGGCGUAAAGCGUGCGUAGGUGGUGAGUUAAGUCUGAUGUGAAAUCCCCGGGCUCAACCUGGGAAUGGCAUUGGAUACUGGCUCGCUAGAGUGCGGUAGAGGGUGGUGGAAUUCCAAGUGUAGCGGUGAAAUGCGUAGAUAUCUGGAGGAACACCGGUGGCGAAGGCGGCAUCCUGGACCGGCACUGACGCUGAGGAGCGAAAGCCAGGGGAGCAAACGGG